CGCCCCUACUGGCUUAUGCUCGUGGGCUGUCAGCCCACUGUGCCACUCUGCCUGGGUGUGCUGAAGGGUCAUGGUUGCAAAUGGCUUACCUGGAUCCCUGGUGUCCGGUCUCUUUGCAGCUUGUUGCCUCUCCUGGACUCUCUCGUGCUGGAGGACUUCCCUACUGGCUUAUCCUCAUGGACUUUCAACCCACUAUCCCACUCUGCCUGGGUGUGCUGAAGGACCAUGGUUGAAGAUGGCUUACCUGGAUCCCUGGUGUCUGGUCUCUUUGCAGCUUGUUGCCUCUCCUGGACUCUCCCGUUCUGGAUCUGGAAAAAGAUAACAUAAAUUUCACGCACCCAUGAAAAAACUCCCUAAAAACUGAAUUUCACAAGGC